rnacentral:rRNA from 1 species
UACGGGGGGAGCAAGCGUUGUUCGGAUUUACUGGGCGUAAAGGGCGCGUAGGCGGCCACCGCAAGUCGACUGUGAAAUCUCCGGGCUUAACUCGGAAAGGUCAGCCGAUACUGCGGGGCUAGAGUGCAGAAGGGGCAACUGGAAUUCUCGGUGUAGCGGUGAAAUGCGUAGAUAUCGAGAGGAACACCUGCGGCGAAGGCGGGUUGCUGGGCCGACACUGACGCUGAUGCGCGAAAGCCAGGGGAGCAAACGGG